rnacentral:rRNA from 1 species
CACGUAGGGGCCAAGCGUUGUCCGGAUUUAUUGGGCGUAAAGAGCUCGUAGGCGGCUCGGUAAGUCGGGUGUGAAACCUCCAGGCUCAACCUGGAGACGCCACCUGAUACUGCUGUGGCUAGAGUCCGGUAGGGGAGCGUGGAAUUCCCGGUGUAGCGGUGAAAUGCGCAGAUAUCGGGAAGAACACCCGUGGCGAAGGCGGCUCUCUGGGACGGUACUGACGCUGAGACGCGAAAGCGUGGGGAGCGAACAGG